rnacentral:rRNA from 1 species
GCUCAAAGUUGGAACCUGGCUGUCYUAGAUAGUCCGGAUUGUAAACUAAAGAGCGUGAAUCCAGGCAAGCCGGUUGAUCAAGUCCUUUGGAAUGAGGCGCCACUGAGGGUGAGAGCCCCGUAAAUCGACUGAGCAUUUGUCUUUUGUGUUUCGCGUUCAAAGAGUCAGGUUGUUUGGGAAUGCAGCCUAAAGCUGGUGGUAAAUCCCACCUAAAGCUAAAUACAGGCGAGAGACCGAUAGCGAACAAGUACCGUGAGGGAAAGAUGAAAAGUACUUUGAAAAGAGAGUUAAACAGUAUGUGAAAUUGCCAAGAGGGAAGCAUUUGGAGUUAGACUGACUUGAAGUUAAUCAGCUUGGUCUUUGGACUGGGUGUACUUGACUUCUAUGUCUGCCAAUAGCAGUUAGUCCUGGUGGAAAAAACUGAAGGGAAGGUAGUCCUUCGGGAUGUUUAUAGACCUUUGGAAAAUACACUGGGAUUGACUGAGGAAUGCAGUAGAUGCUAUUAAGGCUUCGUCUAGUAGGUGUUAGGUGAAGGUACUUGGUAUUUUCAGCUUGCUGAUGUGCUAGGUUACUUGAGCUUAAUUGCUUGCUAGAACUGU